UACGUAGGGGGCUAGCGUUGUCCGGAAUCAUUGGGCGUAAAGCGCGUGUAGGCGGUCCGGUAAGUCCGCUGUGAAAGUCGGGGGCUCAACCCUCGGAUGCCGGUGGAUACUGUCGGGCUUGAGUACGGAAGAGGCGAGUGGAAUCCCUGGUGUAGCGGUGAAAUGCGCAGAUAUCAGGAGGAACACCAAUUGCGAAGGCAGCUCGCUGGGACGUUACUGACGCUGAGACGCGAAAGCGUGGGGAGCAAACAGG
rnacentral:rRNA from 1 species